rnacentral:rRNA from 1 species
GGCGAACGCUGGCGGCGCGCUUAACACAUGCAAGUCGAACGGAAAGGCCUGCUUUCCCUUGUGGAUUGCGGGUACUCGAGUGGCGAACGGGUGAGUAACACGUGAGUGAUCUGCCCCCAACUUGGGUAUAAGCCUGGGAAACUGGGUCUAAUUCCCGAUAGGACUGCAGGGUGGUGCCUGUGGUGGAAAACGAUUUUCUAGUGGUUGGGGAUGAGCUCGCGGCCUAUCAGCUUGUUGGUGGGGUAAUGGCCUACCAAGGCGGCGACGGGUAGCCGGCCUGAGAGGGUGGACGGCCACAUUGGGACUGAGAUACGGCCCAGACUCCUACGGGAGGCAGCAGUGGGGAAUAUUGCACAAUGGGCGGAAGCCUGAUGCAGCGACGCCGCGUGGGGGACGACGGCCUUCGGGUUGUAAACUCCUUUCGACCGCGAGGAAGCCACCUGGUUGGAAGGGUGGUGACGGUAGUGGUAGAAGAAGCACCGGCUAACUACGUG